rnacentral:tRNA from 1 species
GGUGAAGUAGCUCAGCACGGGAGAGCGCUGCCCUUGCAAGGCAGAGGUUGAGGGUUCGAGUCCCUCCCACUCCA